rnacentral:rRNA from 1 species
AUUGAACGCUGGCGGCAUGCUUUACACAUGCAAGUCGAACGGCGGCGCGGGCUUCGGCCUGGCGGCGAGUGGCGAACGGGUGAGUAAUACAUCGGAACGUGCCCAGUAGUGGGGGAUAGCUCGGCGAAAGCCGGAUUAAUACCGCAUACGACCUGAGGGUGAAAGCGGGGGGUCUUCGGACCUCUCGCUAUUGUGGCGGCCGAUGGCGGAUUAGCUAGUUGGUGGGGUAAAGGCCUACCAAGGCGACGAUCUGUAGCUGGUCUGAGAGGACGACCAGCCACACUGGGACUGAGACACGGCCCAGACUCCUACGGGAGGCAGCAGUGGGGAAUUUUGGACAAUGGGCGAAAGCCUGAUCCAGCAAUGCCGCGUGUGUGAUGAAGGCCUUCGGGUUGUAAAGCACUUUUGGCGGGAACGAAAAGGACUGUGCCAAUACCACGGUUCGAUGACGGUACCCGCAGAAUAAGCACCGGCUAACUACGUG